rnacentral:rRNA from 1 species
AACGAACGCUGGCGGCAUGCCUAACACAUGCAAGUCCAACGAGACCUUCGGGUCUAGUGGCGCACGGGUGCGUAACGCGUGGGAACCUGCCCUUAGGUUCGGAAUAACUCCCCGAAAGGGGUGCUAAUACCGGAUAAUGUCUUCGGACCAAAGAUUUAUCGCCUUUGGAUGGGCCCGCGUUGGAUUAGCUAGUUGGUAGGGUAAAAGCCUACCAAGGCGACGAUCCAUAGCUGGUCUGAGAGGAUGGUCAGCCACACUGGGACUGAGACACGGCCCAGACUCCUACGGGAGGCAGCAGUGGGGAAUAUUGGACAAUGGGCGAAAGCCUGAUCCAGCAAUGCCGCGUGAGUGAUGAAGGCCUUAGGGUUGUAAAGCUCUUUUACCCGGGAUGAUAAUGACAGUACCGGGAGAAUAAGCUCCGGCUAACUCCGUG